GACGAACGCUGGCGGCGUGCUUAACACAUGCAAGUCGAACGGUAAGGCCCUUCGGGGUACACGAGUGGCGAACGGGUGAGUAACACGUGGGUGAUCUGCCCUGCACUUCGGGAUAAGCCUGGGAAACUGGGUCUAAUACCGGAUAGGACCACUGCCUGCAUGGGUGGUGGUGGAAAGCUUUUGCGGUGUGGGAUGGGCCCGGGGCCUAUCAGCUUGUUUGUGGGGUGAUGGCCUACCAAGGCGACGACGGGUAGCCGGCCUGAGAGGGUGACCGGCCACACGGGGACUGAGAUACGGCGCAGACAACUACGGGAGGCAGCAGUGGGGGAUAUUGCACAAUGGGCGCAAGCCUGAGGCAGCGACGCCGCGUGUGGGAUGACGGCCUUCGGGUUGUAAACCUCUUUCAGCACCGACGAAGCGCAAGUGACGGUAGGUGCAGAAGAAGGACCGGCCAACUACGUGCCAGCCGCCGCCGUAA
rnacentral:rRNA from 1 species